rnacentral:rRNA from 1 species
AAACAGAUGCUAAUACCGGAUAACAACAGAUGAUGCCUAUCAACUGUUUAAAAGAUGGUUCUGCUAUCACUCUUGGGAUGGACCUGCGGUGCAUUAGCUAGUUGGUAGGGUAACGGCCUACCAAGGCGAUGAUGCAUAGCCCGAGUUGAGAGACUGAUCGGGCCACAUUGGGGACUGAGACACGGGCCCAAAAACUCCUACGGGGAGGCAGCAGUAGGGAAUCUUCCACAAUGGACGCAAGUCUGAUGGAGCAACGCCGCGUGAGUGAAGAAGGGUUUCGGCUCGUAAAGCUCUGUUGUUGGUGAAGAAGGACAGGGGUAGUAACUGACCUUUGUUUGACGGUAAUCAAUUAGAAAGUCACGGCUAACUACGUGCCAGCAGCCGCGGUAAU